GCUAGUAAUCGCGAAUCAGAAUGUCGCGGUGAAUACGUUCCCGGGCCUUGUACACACCGCCCGUCACACCAUGAGAGUCGAUAACACCCGAAGCCUGUGAGCUAACCGCAAGGAGGCAGCAGUCGAAGGUGGGGUUGAUGAUUGGGGUGAAGUCGUAACAAGGUAGC
rnacentral:rRNA from 1 species